rnacentral:rRNA from 1 species
AGUGAACGCUGGCGGUAUGCCUAACACAUGCAAGUCGAACGGCAGCACAUUAAGAGCGUGCUCUUACGGUGGGCGACUGGCGGGCGGGUGAGGUAUACAUCGGAAUCUACGUUUGCGUGGGGGAUAACGUAGCGAUAGUUACGCUAGUACCGCAUACGACCUACGGGUGAAAGCAGUGGAGCUUCGUACGUUACUCGAUUGGAUGAGCGCGUGUCGGAUUAGCGAGCUGGCGGGGUAAAGGCCCACCAAGCCGACGCUCCGUAGCUGGUCUGAGAGAAUGAUCAGCCACACUGGAACUGAGACACGGUCCAGACUCCUACGGGAGGCCGCAGUGGGGUAUAUUGGACAACGGGAGCAAGCCUGAUCCAGCCAUACCGCGUGGGUGAAGAAGGCCUUCGGGUUGUAAAGCCCUUUUGUUGGGAAAGAAAAGCAGCAGGUUAAUACCAAGCUGUUAUGACGGUACCCAAAGAAUAAGCACCGGCUAACUUCGUG